rnacentral:rRNA from 1 species
ACUCAAAUGAAUUGACGGGGGCCCGCACAAGCGGUGGAGCAUGUUGUUUAAUACGUCACUAACCGUAGAACCUUACCAGGGUUUGACAUGUGCUGAAAUGCUGUGAAAGCAGCCUCUCCCGCAAGGGAGCAGCAACACAGGUGUUGCAUGGCUGUCGUCAGCUCGUGUCGUGAGAUGUUGGGUUAAGUCCCGCAACGAGCGCAACCCUCAUCCCAUGUUGCCAGCGAGUAAAGUCGGGAACUCUUGGGAAACUGCCCGGGUAACCGGGAGGAAGGUGGGGAUGACGUCAAGUCAGCAUGGCCCUUACACCCUGGGCUACAAACAUGCUACAAUGGACGGUAGACAAAGAGAGCCGAGGCCGUAAGGCGGGGGCAAUCUCAGAAAUCCGUUCUCAGUUCGGAUCGUCGGCUGCAACUCGCCGACGUGAAGCCGGAAUCGCUAGUAACCGCCGGUCAGCCAAACGGCGGUGAAUACGUUCCCGGGCCUUGUACACACCGCCCGU